GCCGCCCCGGCGGGUGGGACUGUCGUCGAUGAUGUCGUCGUGGAUCAGUCCGUGGGUCUGCAGGAGUUCGAUGCUCAGCGCGGCG
rnacentral:tRNA from 1 species